AACCCAGUGCAAUUCGUUGCACUAUCGUUAACUGAAUACAUAGGUUAACGAGGCGAACCGGGGGAACUGAAACAUCUAAGUACCCCGAGGAAAAGAAAUCAACCGAGAUUCCCCCAGUAGCGGCGAGCGAACGGGGAGCAGCCCAGAGUCUGAAUCAGCUUGUGUGUUAGUGGAACGGUCUGGAAAGUCCGACGGUACAGGGUGAUAGUCCCGUACACCAAAAUGCACAGGCUGUGAACUCGAAGAGUAGGGCGGGACACGUGGUAUCCUGUCUGAAUAUGGGGGGACCAUCCUCCAAGGCUAAAUACUCCUGACUGACCGAUAGUGAACCAGUACCGUGAGGGAAAGGCGAAAAGAACCCCGGCGAGGGGAGUGAAAAAGAACCUGAAACCGUGUACGUACAAGCAGUGGGAGCACCUUCGGGUGUGACUGCGUACCUUUUGUAUAAUGGGUCAGCGACUUAUAUUCUGUAGCAAGGUUAACCGUAUAGGGGAGCCGCAGGGAAACCGAGUCUUAACUGGGCGUUAAGUUGCAGGGUAUAGACCCGAAACCCGGUGAUCUAGCCAUGGGCAGGUUGAAGGUUGGGUAACACUAACUGGAGGACCGAACCGACUAAUGUUGAAAAAUUAGCGGAUGACUUGUGGCUGGGGGUGAAAGGCCAAUCAAACCGGGAGAUAGCUGGUUCUCCCCGAAAGCUAUUUAGGUAGCGCCUCGUGAACUCAUCUUCGGGGGUAGAGCACUGUUUCGGCUAGGGGGUCAUCCCGACUUACCAACCCGAUGCAAACUACGAAUACCGAAGAAUGUUAUCACGGGAGACACACGGCGGGUGCUAACGUCCGUCGUGAAGAGGGAAACAACCCAGACCGCCAGCUAAGGUCCCAAAGUCAUGGUUAAGUGGGAAACGAUGUGGGAAGGCACAGACAGCCAGGAUGUUGGCUUAGAAGCAGCCAUCAUUUAAAGAAAGCGUAAUAGCUCACUGGUCGAGUCGGCCUGCGCGGAAGAUGUAACGGGGCUAAACCAUGCACCGAAGCUGCGGCAGCGACACUAUGUGUUGUUGGGUAGGGGAGCGUUCUGUAAGCCUGCGAAGGUGUGCUGUGAGGCAUGCUGGAGGUAUCAGAAGUGCGAAUGCUGACAUAAGUAACGAUAAAGCGGGUGAAAAGCCCGCUCGCCGGAAGACCAAGGGUUCCUGUCCAACGUUAAUCGGGGCAGGGUGAGUCGACCCCUAAGGCGAGGCCGAAAGGCGUAGUCGAUGGGAAACAGGUUAAUAUUCCUGUACUUGGUGUUACUGCGAAGGGGGGACGGAGAAGGCUAUGUUAGCCGGGCGACGGUUGUC
rnacentral:rRNA from 1 species